rnacentral:rRNA from 1 species
CCCUUAGAUGUUCUGGGCCGCACGCGUGCUACACUGAUGCAUUCAACGAGUCUAAAACCUGGUCUGAUAGGGCUGGGUAAUCUUUUGAAAGUGCGUCGUGAUUGGGAUAGAUGAUUGCAAUUCUUCAUCUUCAACGAGGAAUGCCUAGUAAACGCAAGUCAUCAGCUUGCAUUGAUUACGUCCCUGCCCUUUGUACACACCGCCCGUCGCUCCUACCGAUUGAAUGAUCCGAUGAAUACCAUGGAUUGAGAGUACGAAUAGGUUCGCUUAUUUCUGCUGCUCGAGAAGUGGAGUAAAUCUUAUCAUUUAGAGGAAGGAGAAGUCGUAACA